AACUUUUCCAUACCUAAGAUGUCUUAUUUAUCCUACUGAGGUCAUAAUGGCAUCUACCUCACAGGAUCGUUAUGGGAAUGAAAUAAAUAAAAGAAUCCCUAACGGGUGCAGCCUGCCAGUGGUUCCCUGGACAUACGGCCACCAAGAAUAAAUACUACAUUUCCCCACCAUCAUCGCAGCUAGAUGUGGCCAAGUGACUAAGUAUUCAUCAGUGAUAUAUGAGCAAAUGUGAUACACAUAACUUCCAAAUUUGACUCUUAAAGGGAAGAAGACUAUGACUAGGAGAAAUGCAAGCAAGAGAGCGAGAUCUCUUGAAUUAUGACUUAAACAUAUACUGUGAGAGUGUAUGAAUUUGCCAAAAGAGGUAUACAGUGGACAGCAUUUCCUAAUCCAUUUUUGACAAUGAACAUCACCACCACCACCACCCACCAUUUUUUUCCAGAGCAUCUAUGGCCAAAUAUGGUUUGGGAAACCUAAGACUCUCAGACUUUAGCCAAUAAAAUUAGAAGUGUGUGUAAAAUUCAAGAACUGAUUUAGUAAAAUUUGGUUGGUUGGGUUUUUUGCUUCUGGACACCUUCAGUCCUUCUUAGAGUCCAACAGCUGCAUCAACACAGAAUGGAAGAAAAAAAGUAAAGAUACAUGAAGAAACAAACUGGCUGAUGACAAGAGAACAGAAUGCCCAGCAAGAAAAGCAAAGUUACCUUGUAUACUGUCUUUAAGGGGCAAGUACCCUAUACACUGGGACUAGAAGAUGGAAGCUCAUGAAAAAGGAGAACACCGCAAGGAAAUCCAUCUGAAUGUUUGCCAUCUGAUUCGAUAAAUGGGUGUGUUAAGCCAUUACUUUCAACACACUGAGGCGGUCCAGACACUUUUUCUUCACCAACAAUGAGAAACGUCCUCACGGAGUAAGAUCUGCACCACUGGGCAGCCAGAAUGCUACUUAAUCUUUCUCCGCACCCUACACUCACAAGGAAGUAGAACUGACACCCAAAGCACCUUCUUUUUGAAGGAGAAGAAAAAAGAGAAGAGAUUUCCCUUCUACGAGAGUUUAGGUCAAACAAGAAAUUAGAGGGAACAUUGCUCACAAGAGACCACCUCACUUCUGACACAAACUGCAAGAUUGGAGGUUCCUAAAACCACCUUCACUUUCAAUAAUUUGUUAGAAGGACUCAUAAAACUCACUAAAAGCUAUUAUAUUAAAAUAAGCCAAGGGAAGACAUGCAUAGGGCAUAGUCCAGGAACUACCAAAAAUGAAGCUUCCAUUGUCCUCCCUGCCCCAGCUGGCCCCUGGAGAUAGAAAUGUGUUACUUUCCCUGUACAAGGUGUGUCAGUAUGCAGAGACUACUGCCAACAAGGAACUAAAAAAUACAAAAAA